GAAGGGGGUGUGUCCUUCUGUGAUGAGACUCAACAGGUAACAGGCUGAGCUGUCACAAUGCCCAAAGCUGAGGCUGACGCCAGAGCAGAAGACCCCAAGGCAGCUGAAGAGGACCUACCUGGCACUGGAGCGAGGUGUAACUGACAAUGCCAGGAGCUUGGCCCACGCCAGGAGAGCAGAGCACCAUCCACUCCAAACGGAGUGGCUGGGACAGCUGGGUGACUACAUGCUGGGCCAUCCCAUAGGCUGAGAGAGAGGAGGGGCAGAGCAGAGGACUAGAAGAAGACAAGUAAAACCUCAGGCUAGUCAUUCCAGAGGUGGUGGCUUGAGAGAAAGAGAGAAGAAAAAGAGAGAGAGGGAGAUCAAAAAGUCUGAAGCAGGCAGCUGUUAGUAUUUGUCCAGCAGCUCAUGAGGUCCAGAGCUAGUAUGGCUGUGAUUCUCUUGGCCUCUCCUUCAUGGCUGCAAGAUGGCAGCUCCUAUUCCAGGCAUCAUGCCCAGUCAGGGCAGGAAGAAAGGGGAAGGCCAGAGCCAGCUGCAGCUGUCCCUUCAUAGAAGAAAAGCAAAAGCUUUCCCCAAAACCCUCCACCCCCAGCUGAAUUCUACCCAGAUCUUAUUGGCCAGAUUGGAUCACAUGGUCACCCCUACUUGCAAGGGAGGUUGGGAAAGUGAUCCAUUAGUUUUGCUGGUCUCUAUAGCCCAGGCAGGUGAGGGAGCGUGAGUUGGGAGUGAAUAUAGGGCUGCUAUUUCUGGGAGAGUGGUCUUGAGUCCUGAAUUAACUCCCUAUUCUGCCUUUAUUUUUUAUUUUCAUGUAUCUAACACUCCUUGGUUUUGAAGCUGGGUGGGACAGUUAAAAAGAACUACGAGCUGGAAAUGAGUAAAGCUUUUUUUGCAAGACUGCCCUAAGGAAAUAAGUGUCAGCUGUUUUAACAUCCAUGCCCUGAUGGCUCAGCUUGGCUCUGCUCAGUUAUCAGAUGCCAACUCCAGAUGAGGCCUGCGCUGCCAAGUGUCUUGUCUCCUCCUGUCUGGAAGGGAACAGAUCAGUCUCACCUUCAUCAAGACCGAUACCUCAUUUGAGCUGUGUGAUUCCAUAUGAGGUCAGAAUACCUUGUGGCCACAGCUUCACCAGAG
rnacentral:lncRNA from 1 species